GAAUGUGACCUGUGUGGUUGAUGUAGACAUACGGACAAGCUUGGGAGACGUCGUCGUCAACGCUGGACGGCGGAAGUGGGUUGUGUCUCACCUAGUGUGGCGGGAUUCUGGAUGAUCUGCUCCAUUUGUGUGGGCUUUGGAGGAAGCAGAACCAGGUGGCCCAAAAUGUGGAUGACUGACAGUCUGAUCCAGCGAGGAACCUCUGAGUACAGGUCGUUCAUGAGGAGCAGGAAGACGGUGAAACCCAAGAUGAGGGUCAUCUUGAACAAGGAGCGGUCCACCUUCUGAGGAGGC